ncrna:Heliconius melpomene (postman butterfly) microRNA hme-mir-2788 precursor
GUCGCUGUAUUGCUGGGGUUUCCUAGCGGCAUGUGCCUUCUUCUAUGCAAUGCCCUUGGAAAUCCCAAACGUGCUGGCGAC